rnacentral:sRNA from 1 species
UGUUGUUGUUGUUCUUU